GCGGGUGUAGCUCAGUGGUAGAGCUCCAGCCUUCCAAGCUGGUGACGAGGGUUCGAUUCCCUUCACCCGCU
rnacentral:tRNA from 2 species